rnacentral:misc_RNA from 1 species
AAAAAUUAAUUUUAAUUCUGAAACAUAUCCGAAUUUCUUCCAUAGUAAUUUUAAUAUAUUAUUUUGGUGGAGACCUGUUGGUCAUUUUAUCAAUCAAUAAUUACAAGUUAACCACAGCAAUAAAGCUUGCACAGUUCAAACAAUUUCCCUACAACAUACUCUAUUAUUAGUACGAGCAAUAUUCAUUCAAGUGUAAUAAUACAUCACCAUUAGU